UACGUAGGGGACGAGCGUUGUCCGGAAUUAUUGGGCGUAAAGAGCGUGUAGGCGGCUCUGCAAGUCCUGCGUGAAAUCUCGAGGCUCAACCUCGAGCGGUCGUGGGAAACUGGAGGGCUAGAGUGCGGGAGAGGGAAGUGGAAUUCCUGGUGUAGCGGUGAAAUGCGUAGAGAUCAGGAAGAACACCGGUGGCGAAAGCGCUCUGCUAGGCCGCAACUGACACUGAGGGACGAAAGCUAGGGGAGCGAAUGGG
rnacentral:rRNA from 1 species